GUGGGGAAUAUUGGACAAUGGGCGAAAGCCUGAUCCAGCCAUGCCGCGUGUGUGAAGAAGGUCUUCGGAUUGUAAAGCACUUUAAGUUGGGAGGAAGGGCAGUAAGUUAAUACCUUGCUGUUUUGACGUUACCGACAGAAUAAGCACCGGCUAACUUCGUGCCAGCAGCCGCGGUAAUACGAAGGGUGCAAGCGUUAAUCGGAAUUACUGGGCGUAAAGCGCGCGUAGGUGGUUUUGUAAGUUGGAGGUGAAAUCCCCGGGCGCAACAUGGGAACUGCCUAAAAAACUGCAUGACUAGAGUACGGUAGAGGGUAGUGGAAUUUCCUGUGUAGCGGUGAAAUGCGUAGAUAUAGGAAGGAACACCAGUGGCGAAGGCGACUACCUGGACUGAUACUGACACUGAGGUGCGAAAGCGUGGGGAGCAAACAGGAUUAGAAACCCCUGUAGUCC
rnacentral:rRNA from 1 species